UACAGGGGGGGCAAGCGUUGUUCGGAAUUACUGGGCGUAAAGGGUUCGUAGGUGGCUUACUAAGUCAGACGUGAAAUCCCUCAGCUUAACUGGGGAACUGCGUCUGAUACUGGAUGGCUUGAGGUUGGGAGAGGGAUGCGGAAUUCCAGGUGUAGCGGUGAAAUGCGUAGAUAUCUGGAGGAACACCGGUGGCGAAGGCGGCAUCCUGGACCAAUUCUGACGCUGAGUGAGCGAAAGCCAGGGGAGCAAGCGGG
rnacentral:rRNA from 1 species